GCCUGGGUGGCUCAGUCGGUUGAGCAUCCGACUUCAGCUCAGGUCAGGAUCUCGUGGUCCGUGAGUUCGAGCCCCAUGUCGGGCU
rfam:Felis catus isolate Cinnamon breed Abyssinian chromosome B4, whole genome shotgun sequence.